GAUGAACGCUGGCGGCGUGCCUAAUACAUGCAAGUCGAGCGAACAGACGAGGAGCUUGCUCCUCUGACGUUAGCGGCGGACGGGUGAGUAACACGUGUAUAACCUACCUAUAAGACUGGGAUAACUUCGGGAAACCGGAGCAAAUACCGGAUAAUAUAUUGAACCGCAUGGUUCAAUAGUGAAAGACGGUUUUGCUGUCACUUAUAGAUGGAUCCGCGCCGCAUUAGCUAGUUGGUAAGGUAACGGCUUACCAAGGCGACGAUGCGUAGCCGACCUGAGAGGGGGAUCGGCCACACUGGAACUGAGACACGGUACAGACUCCGACGGGAGGCAGCAGUAGCGAAUCUACCGCAAAGGGCGAAAGCCUGACGGAGCAACGCCGCGUGAGUGAUGAAGGUCUUCGGAUCGUAAAACGCUGUUAUGAGGGAAGAACAAAUGUGUAAGUAACUAUGCGCGUCUUGACGGUACCUAAUCAGAAAGCCACGGCUAACUACGU
rnacentral:rRNA from 1 species